rnacentral:snRNA from 1 species
GGAUGCUCUACACAUUAAUCUAUAGACUCUCUCUCUCUUCAGAGAAGAUUAGCAUGGCCCCUGCGCAAGGAUGACAUGCACAAUCGUGAAGCGUUCUACAUUUUU